rnacentral:rRNA from 1 species
CCUACGGGUGGCAGCAGUGGGGAAUAUUGGACAAUGGGCGGAAGCCUGAUCCAGCCAUGCCGCGUGUGUGAAGAAGGCCUUUUGGUUGUAAAGCACUUUAAGCGAGGAGGAGGCUACCUAGAUUAAUACUCUGGGAUAGUGGACGUUACUCGCAGAAUAAGCACCGGCUAACUCUGUGCCAGCAGCCGCGGUAAUACAGAGGGUGCGAGCGUUAAUCGGAUUUACUGGGCGUAAAGCGUGCGUAGGCGGCUGAUUAAGUCGGAUGUGAAAUCCCUGAGCUUAACUUAGGAAUUGCAUUCGAUACUGGUCAGCUAGAGUAUGGGAGAGGAUGGUAGAAUUCCAGGUGUAGCGGUGAAAUGCGUAGAGAUCUGGAGGAAUACCGAUGGCGAAGGCAGCCAUCUGGCCUAAUACUGACGCUGAGGUACGAAAGCAUGGGGAGCAAACAGGAUUAGAUACCCCAGUAGUC